rnacentral:rRNA from 1 species
UACAGAGGUCCCAAGCGUUACUGAGAAUCACUGGGUUUAAAGGGUGCGUAUGUGGUCCGUUAAGUCAGUUGUGAAAUCCCCGGGCUCAACUCGGGAACUGCUUCUGAUACUGGCGGACUUGAGGCCAGUAGGGGUCACUAGAACUGACGGUGGAGCGGUGAAAUGCGUAGAUAUCGUCAGGAAUGCCGGUGGUGAAGACGGGUGACUGGGCUGGUUCUGACACUGAGGCACGAAAGCGUGGGGAGCGAACGGG